UACGUAGGGUGCAAGCGUUAAUCGGAAUUACUGGGCGUAAAGCGUGCGCAGGCGGUUUUGUAAGUUUGUCGUGAAAGCCCCGGGCUCAACCUGGGAAUUGCGUUGGAGACUGCAAGGCUAGAAUCUGGCAGGAGGGGGGUAGAAUUCCACGUGUAGCAGUGAAAUGCGUAGAGAUGUGGAGGAACACCGGAUGGCCGAAGGCAGCCCCCUGGGUCAAGAUUGACGCUCAUGCACGAAAGCGUGGGGAGCAAACAGG
rnacentral:rRNA from 1 species